GAUGAACGCUGGCGGCGUGCCUAAUACAUGCAAGUCGAGCGAACAUACGAGGAGCUUGCUCCUCUGACGUUAGCGGCGGACGGGUGAGUAACACGUGGAUAACCUACCUAUAAGACUGGGAUAACUUCGGGAAACCGGAGCUAAUACCGGAUAAUAUAUUUAACCGCAUGGUUCAAUAGUGAAAGACGGUUUUGCUGUCACUUAUAGAUGGAUCCGCGCCGCAUUAGCUAGUUGGUAAGGUAACGGAUUACCAAGGCAACGAUGCGUAGCCGAGCUGUGAGAGGGAUCGGCCACACUGGAACUGAGACACGGACCAGAAUCCUACGGGAGGCAGCAGUAGGGAAUUUUCGGCAAUGGGCGAAAGCCUGACGGAGCAACGCCGCGUGAUUGAUGAAGGUCUUCGGGUCGUAAAACUCUGUUAUUAGGGAAGAACAAAUGUGUUAUUAAAUAUGCACGUCUUGACGGUACCUAAUCAAAAAGCGACGGCUAACUACGUG
rnacentral:rRNA from 1 species